GGACGUUGUACUGUUCUCCAUAGCCGUGCUUCUUCUGGUCCUUGACUGGCUCGAAGGGAAGAGAAGUUGGUGGUGAUGUUGGCAAAGACUCCAGUGAUGUUGAUUCAGAGGCUAAUAUCAGCAGCAGUGUCAUUACAACAAUAGUUGUCAUGCAUGAAAUGUGGCCAACUGACCUCUUAUUCAAGGUUGUCAUGCCUGUAAUGUGCUUUCAAUUUUAUCCUUGUACCCGGUACCUGAGUUUUGCCAAAAUGCAGGAAAUCCUCUGAUCUGCUUUGUCUAUGCUUCCCAUGCCA
rnacentral:misc_RNA from 1 species